UAUCACUGGCUAGUUUCCAGACUCUUGGUCUACUAUUCGCAUGGCAUUGUGGGCAACGUGCUUCUUCACCUAGGAGUUGUGUUUUUAACUUUGAGGUCGCAGCGUUGUGCCUUUUUUCCGAAAAUGGGACGAAGCUAUAGUCGCUCAAGGUCAAGAUCUGGAAGCUAUUCACGCUCAAGAUCAAGGUCAAGGGGGAAAAGCUACUCAAGAUCACUUUCAAGAUCAAGGAGCAGAUCUAGGUCUCGGUCAUAUAAAGGAAAGCGAAACAGAUCAUAUUCUAGAUCAUACUCAAGGUCCAGGUCAAGAUCACCACACCGUAGGUCAAGGUCACCAUAUCGCAGGUCAAGGUCCAGGUCACCUUACAGUCGUAGGAGACAUGGUGGAGGAAGGUCUGGUGGCCACUAUGGCAGAAGGAGCAGAUCACCAAUGUCAAAUAGAAAGAGGCAUGUAGGAGACAGGGAUGCACCACCAGAAGGAAAGUGCCUUGGCAUCUUUGGUCUAAGCCUUUACACAACCGAAAGAGAAGUUAAAGAAAUGUGUGAUCGCUAUGGGGAGGUUGAAUCCUGCCAGAUUGUCUAUGACCAUGCGACUGGAAGGUCAAGAGGCUUCUCUUUUGUGUAUUUCAAGGAUGUUGACUCAGCCGUUGAGGCCAAAGAGCGGCUUAAUGGGCAAGAGCUUGAUGGUAGACGAAUUAGAGUGGAUUUUUCAAUCACCCAGAGACCACACACUCCAACACCUGGAGUUUAUAUGGGAAGACCUACCUACAGUCGUAAAGAAGAUGAAGAAAAGCAUAGCAGGUCUUCACACCGCAAAAGGUCCUACUCAAGAUCAAGAUCGCGAUAAAAUGCCAUCAUCCAAGCAUUGUGCUAUUUGAUUGUAGCAGAUGUUCAAAGAGUUGUCCUUUUUGCUGAAACUUUGAUUGCAAUUCUAGAUGGUUAUUAAGACAUUUAACACUUAAGUCUAUUGAACUGCCUAUCAACACUCAGACUUAACAUCCAGUAUAAAAUUAGUAGUUUCUCAUAAAUAGGGACUUCAGUGGUGGAUGUAGUUUCAGCUGAUAUAGUGAUAUUAUGUCAUUGGAAGAUUCUGGCAAAGAUGCCAUCUGAAUCUAAUCAUAUCAUCCUUAUUUCCAGUUUGGUUUGUUUCUAAAACGCAUGCUCUGGAAACAAGUUUACACCCACAAAAGUUUGGGAAUACACAGACAGUGUCUUACUGAAAACUCAAUGUUAUAAAUAAAUCUUUUUAGUUCAUUUUUUGACACAUUGAGUUCAGCCCUGAUAAGUUUCUGUAAUUUUAGUGAUUGCAAAGGUUGUCUUAAUUUUAUAUAUUUCUUGACUUUUACGAAGUCUGUUAUUCUUUAGAGCAACUUAUGAAUGAAGUUUUCUGAAAACCAAGAAAAUCAAGUUGAGAAUUGCAUCUUCAAGUAGUUUGAUGAGGACUUGAAGAUUUGCUGUUCACAAACAUGAAGAAUGAAGAUAUUUGAGAAGAUAUGAAAACAUCUAAAUGAAUAGUGGAGAAUCGAAGUUUUGAAGAUUAAGCAUGAAGACCUUUGAAGGGAUGGUCUGCUAGAAAGUGAAGAUAUAAUAAUGAAGCCUACUAAAAUUUCAAGAUUUGUCUGAAGAUUUCUGAAAGGAUUUCGGUGAAGAAUCCAUGAAGCUUUCAAUGAAGAUUUGCUAGAAGAGUUGUGGGAAGUGAAUGAGAAUCUAUUUUAAGACUUUUUAAAUUGGGAUACAACUGUGAAGGGGUUGUUGAAGAAUUGAAGAUGUUUCAUUUGCCAGGAAGAUUUGAAUAUGAGAGGAAGAUCCCGAUUUUGUAAUAACUAAACACUUACUGUUGAAGAAAUUAAUGUCCGAAACAAAUUUGCAUUUUGGAGCGGAUGACAGAGUACCAUUUUGUUACCCCUGUUUAGUUCUUUUUCUAGCCCGAAUUGGCGAAACUAUUAUUUGAUUACAGUUUAUCAAGGUAAACACGCAUAUUUUGAAAGAAUCUUAAAAUCAAACCUCUAUAAUGUUGCUGUAUAUUGUUUCAUAUAAUAUAAUUUAUUUACCAGUAUUUCGGAUGGAUGUGAUUUUCAGAAAGUCUUAUUAUCAAUUUUCGGUAUCAAGUAUAAAUGUAUUUAUUUAACACAACAAUUGAAUAGCGAAAAAUAAGUUAUACGUGACCCGAAAAGGGCAGGAUUCGUCUAGCUCGGCGCAACCUAAACAUGGUCUUAAAAUGCCUUGCAGAGUUGCAGUUAUUUUAAAAAAAGCCUAAAAAAAUUUUCGGCAAAGUUUCUUCUGGUAAGUCAAGUCUAUCUCUGAAAUUCUCAAGACAAGGAAGAAGUUGUAGGAAGGAAGUAAGACCGUAUUUCAUUGCAUUGCAAAGUAUCAGGACGGGGUCCCUUUUAUUUGGUACCAAAGACGCCUUAGUAAAGAUGAAAAUUGGGCUAAAUGUCAACCGUUUUUCUCUGUAUACCUUCACAGAGUCCAUACUUAUAAGAACAAUUCAACGAAAGCUGCAGAAUGGAAACAAGAACUUAGACUGUUGCAGAAUUUCAUGUUCCAAGCAACAAAAAGCGUUCAUAUUCUAAAAUUAUGACAUAGCUUCGUUGCUAUAGUAUAUAAUGUAAAACUUUUAUUUCUGUUUACUUGCUGUCAACGAUUAUAUAUGAAAAUUAAAAAAAUUACCACUGCUUAAAAUUCAGAAUUGAAACACGAGCUUUGGAAAAACGGACAAUUAUCUGGGCAAAAAUUAUCUGGGGCGAAUGAUUACGAUGCUAUUCUCUUAGCUCCCUCUAUAGCAAACCAAUUUUUACCAAUUUAUUAAACAAGAAUGAAUUUCCUGAAAAAUGAUCAAUUUGGCAAGAGUAUUGGCAAAGAUUCAGCAGCUCUGCAGAUAUUUUUUCAAACAAAGUAGGUAAAUCUCGAUUUCCUACUUAUUUUUUAUGUGGUGGGAGAAUGUGUUUAUUGCGUUGUAUGAGAUCUAUCAAUGAAGGCUUAUUAAUAUUGCAAGGGCUACUUUUUUACGAAAAUUGAGCAAUAUUACAAGCUAACUCUAUUUCAACGGGGAGCGAUUCACUCUUGCAUAUAGCGUACGAGAUUUUGCCUAAAACAAAAGGACUUCUGGGGAUUUUUUACAUAAAACAAUAAGAUUUUCACGAAAGGUGUAUACGACAUUCCCCCUCGUAUUUCAAGGCAAACGAUUUGCUGCAUAUUUCCUUAAAUUUGGAGAAAGAAUUCGUUUAAUUCAAUAGUAAAUAAAUUUUACAAGCCUGUAGGCUUCAUUUUU